AUAAAUGAAUUAGAUCAAUACUUAUCAAUCAACAAUAAAAAGUCGUUUUGAUGAUAUUUCAAAUAUUCAAGAAGGAAGAAGCUUCAUGUUAGUAGUUAAUGAGAUAGAUAAUCUCACUAUAAGACUUGUGAUUUUGAAAUUUGAACUAGAUUUUGAGAUGUAAGUUUGAUUUAAGAAUUAAUUUUACAUGAUAUCAGAGUAGAAUUCUAUUGAGUUACAG
rnacentral:lncRNA from 1 species